GUGUUGCGUGUGACAAUGUGUGUAUGUGCGCUAAAAUUGGCAGAGCGAGAGCAGAAGGUGCAGUGAAGCUGCUGAAGUGAGGACAUGUCGGCUUUGGAAAAUAGACUUGUACACAGCGAGGGGACGCCUCUUGAGGAAUGAGAGGUGUUUUUAGAGAGACAGCCAGACAGAGAGAGAGACCAGGAGGUUUUGGAAGUUUCUGUGUGAAUGCGUGCGUGUGCUUAAAUAGUCGGAGGCAGACUGAUUUGAGGACAGCAUAAUGUCUCAUGGGAGUGAGACAGGCUCAUGUUUGUCCUUGUGUAUGAUUCAUUUGUCUUUUGUCAUAUUUUAUGAAUUAUAAAUGGCACAUUCUAGACCUUGCAGAAUGUUUAACACAACAUCCCCAACCUUGUUCCCGUCAUAGGAAGCAAUUACUGGCAUGAAGUUGUCUGAUUGCGCCAUCUGUUGGAGGAAGACGGAACUCCAGAUGUUUUUUGGACGUCCAGUCAUCUGUGUUCCAGUUGUCUCCCCUGUAGAAAGGCGGCUGCAGCUGAUCACAGGCAGCGUGUUGGCAGCGCCUGUGCUGUCUACAGGGCAUUCGGACACAAGCCUGUGCAAAUCACAUAUGCUGUCACAUCAUCAAAGGCGCUUCGAACUGUGGUUUGAACUGGAAAUUGGAAAUAGUCAUAUUUGCCAAGUUUAGAUACAUUUUGUUAAAAUACAAAAGCAAAGUAGAGACAAGCUUAUUAACAGAAACACAUGCAAGUGAAUUUGAAUAUUACAUAUUAUAUAUUCAUAACAACCCUCAGCAGGAAUAUUGUAAAUAUGAUGUUUUCAGUACUGCUGCAACUCACUGCCAUUGUUAAAUUAUUGUUUAUCGAGGCACCAGCUCCUCCUAUGUGGCCUGCGGUGCUCAUUCUUGAUUCCCAGCAGGGUUUUGGCCUCUCCGUUUAUGUUCACGCAGUCUUGUUCAAGUCAUUGACUCACUUGUGAUUGGAGCCAAAAAGCAGCUAUCUCAUUCAGGUGUCACCUGGAAAGUCCAGCAAAGAAAACUUACAGCACAUCCUCCAGACGGUGAUGUUGCCUGUGGCUCUUUUUAAAACCCAACAGCUCUGUGGCUGCUAAAUAAUCAGAUUAGUGAGAUGCUCGUGGAACAGUAGAAUCGUGCCAGGUGGAAAAACUCCAUCAGGAGGACACACAUUAACUGAAGUGUUCACUAAAUGAAACACUUUAAAGGACACUACCGAGGACAUUUUCUUUUUUUUUUUUAUUAAAGAGCCCAAUUUAU